rnacentral:rRNA from 1 species
AGUAACACGUAGGUUACGUACCCAAGAGUCGAGGAUAACCUGGAGAAAUCCAGAAUAAUACUCGAUAGUCCCUUCGGGGUAAAGAUUUAUCGCUCUUGGAACGGCCUGCGGGAUAUCAGCUUGUUGGUGAGGUAAUGGCUCACCAAGGCUAUGACGUCUAGGGGAGGUGAGAGCCUGACCCCCACCGAUGGAACUGAGACACGGUCCAUACUCCUACGGGAGGCCGCAGUCGAGAAUCUUCCGCAAUGGACGAAAGUCUGACGGAGCGACGCCGCGUGAUUGAUGAAGCUUUUCGGAGUGUAAAGAUCUUUUAUAUGGGAAGAAGUUUAUUGACGGUACCAUAUGAAUAAGGGGCUCCUAAAUUCGUGCCAGCAGGAGCGGUAAUACGAGUGCCCCAAGCGUUACCCGGAUUCACUGGGCGUAAAGGGUACGUAGGCGGCUUAAUUAGUCGAUUGUUAAAGCACCGGGCUCAACCCGGGACAGGCAAUCGAAACGGCUAAGCUAGAGGAUAUGAGAGGUAAGUGGAACUCAUGGUGUAGAGGUGAAUUCGUUGAUAUCAUGGGGAACACCAAAGCGAAGGCAACUUACUGGCAUACUCCUGACGCUGAGGUACGAAAGCGUGGGUAGCGAAUGGGAUUAGAUACCCCAGUAGUCCACGCCCUAAACGUUCUGAACUAGCUUUUUGGAGUAUCGACCCUCUGAGAGGCGAAGCUAACGCGUUAAGUUCAGCGCCUGGGUAGUACGAGCGCAAGCUUAAAACUCAAAGGAAUAGACGGGGACUCGCACAAGCGGUGGAUCAUGUGGCUUAAUUCGAUACUAAGCGAAGAACCUUACCCAGAUUAGAAACUUAUCUGACAAUCUUGGGAAACCAAGACUUUCUUCGGACAGAUAAGCAGGUGAUGCAUGGCCGUCGUCAGUUCGUGGCUUGAGCUGUUCCCUUAAGUGGGGAAACGAACGCAACCCUCGUCGUGUGUUACAAGUGUCACACGAGACUGCUCUCUCACGAGAGAGGAAGGUGGGGAUGACGCCAGGUCAGCAUGUCCCUUGAUGUCUGGGGCUGCACACGUGAUACAAUGGCCGUUACAACGGGACGCAAAGUCGUAAGGCGGAGCAAAUCCUUAUAAAGACGGCCCCAGUUCGGAUAGUAGUCUGCAACUCGACUACUUGAAGUCGGAAUCGCUAGUAAUCCCGAAUCAGCAACGUCGGGGUGAAUACGUUCUCGAGUCUUGUACUCACCGCCCGUCAAGUCAGGGAAGCCGGGAGUACCCGAAGUCUCACUUUAUUGUGGGCCGAAGGUAAAUUCGGUAACAAGGACUAAGUCGUAACAAGGUAGCC